GGACCUGCUCAGAGAAGAGGCAGCCAGUGUCUCCUGUCUCAUCCACCCUAAGAAUGGUCCGCAAGGCAAUGCAGCAAACAAGGAAGUAUGAAUAAACUUGCCAAUUCAUGAACACUUUCAAGAAGAGUGAAUACUCCAUCCGGUCAUGAGCUUAACAUCUUCAUGUUCAGGAGGUAGGAAUUAUGAAUAAACUUUCCAAUCCAUGAACACUAUCAAGAACAGUGAGCACUCCAGCCAGUAAUGAGCUUAACGACUUCAUGUUCAGGAGAACAAGAUAAUUAAACUGCACCUUCACGGAAAUGGAUCCUGGAGAGCAUUUAUCAAACACAGGGAUCGUUUACACUUGAGAAGAACUACUGAACAGCACGUGCCAGAGAUUGAGGUCCAGGUCAAACGUAGAAGGACAGCCUCACUGAGCAACCAAGAGUGUCACUUGUACCCAAGGCGUUCUCAGCAACAGCAAAUUCCUGUGGUGGAUUUCCAGGCAGAACUGAGACAGGCGUUCUUAGCUGAGACACCAAGAGGUGGUUAAAGCAGUAUUGGAACUGUGGGGUGGUGGAAGUCAACAAAAACAGG
rnacentral:lncRNA from 1 species